GCGGUAGUGGGCGAGUGGAGUGCGGAGCACGGGAAAGGGCGAUCGUCGUCGUUCUAGCUUUUAGGGUUUUGGUUCUGUUUUGUCAAAUGCGAUCAGUUACGCCAAUCACGCAAGAUUAACUAUAACUAUCUCUAUGCAAUCAUUCAUUCUAUUACCAAUUAAAGCAAGUAACUGCAACAUCGUUUUCUCAACUUGAUCUAGAUGGGAAUAGGAGGUGACAACUUCAUGCAAAUCGGAUUCAGAUGACAAGCUUCAGCUUCAAGCUUUUCUCGUAAGUGAUAAGCCCAUGCAGAGGCGUGGGCAAGGACGCAAAGUUGUGGAUUGUGAAAUAUGUAGUCGUUAUAGGUGAUAUGAUGGGUCACUUUAAUUGAGCUAAAUUAUUGCCUUGUAGUUGUAGAUAUUGCUUAGAAGGAAUUAAAUUUUUUUUUUCCUUUUUUGGCCUUUA